GAUGAACGCUGGCGGCGUGCCUAAUACAUGCAAGUCGAGCGAACAGACCAGGAGCUUGCUCCUUCGACGUUAGCGGCGGACGGGUGAGUAACACGUAGGUAACCUACCUAUACGACUGGGAUAACUUCGCGAAACCGGAUCUUAUACCGGAUAAUAUUUCGAACCGCAUGGUUCGCUAGUGAAAUUUGGCUUUGCUAACACUUAUAGAUUGCCAUGCGCCGUAUUAGUUAGUUGGUAAGGUAACGGCUUACCAAGGCAACGAUACGUAGCCGACCUGGGAGGGUGAACGGCCAGACGGGAACUGAGAAAGGGCCGCGACUCCUACAGGAGGCAGCAGUAGAGAAUCUUCCGCAAUGGGCGAAAGCGGGACGGAGGAACGCCGCGGAAGUGAUGAAGGUCUUCGGAUCGUAAAACUAUGUUAUUAGGGAAGAAGAAAAGUGUAUGUACCUGGGAAGGUAAUGACGGUACCGGAAGAAAAAGCCACGGCUAACUACGUG
rnacentral:rRNA from 1 species